UACGUAGGUGGCAAGCGUUGUCCGGAAUUAUUGGGCGUAAAGCGCGCGCAGGCGGUUUCUUAAGUCUGAUGUGAAAGCCCACGGCUCAACCGUGGAAGGUCAUUGGAAACUGGGGAACUUGAGUGCAGAAGAGAAGAGCGGAAUUCCACGUGUAGCGGUGAAAUGCGCAGAUAUCAGGAGGAACACCAAUUGCGAAGGCAGCUCGCUGGGACGUUACUGACGCUGAGACGCGAAAGCGUGGGGAGCAAGCAGG
rnacentral:rRNA from 1 species